rnacentral:rRNA from 1 species
AUGCAGACCUUACUACGCAUGCCGAAUUCUUCAUUAACAACCUCAAAGAGACAUGGAACCGUCACUAUGAACAUUCAAAGGUCUAGAUCAGGCAUUUCUCGACUGAGUAUGUGGCGACUGCGAAGCAAGGGAACACGACGGACUGUGGCUUUCACGCACUGGAAUACUUUGCAAAGUGGGAAGGCAGAAUUGUCCCUCCUAUCACAGCUGCAACGGUUGUUGAGCUCCGGAAAAUCUACACAUGGAACUGGUUGA